rfam:Picea glauca, whole genome shotgun sequence.
AUGUGAUGUAAUUCCUACAACGAUGAUGCAUCGAAUCCCAUUAGAAAUUUGUAGUUAAUCACACUUGGGAUAGAGUAGUAGUGGGAUGGAUGACCUCUCAAGAAGUCCUAUUAUUUAACAUG